GUCCAUUUAUUCAUUCAAUCAUAUGACAAACAUUUAUGGAGCUCCUAGUAUCUUCCCUAUAUUAGACUAGGAGGAGCUGCUAGGGAGAGAGAAACAUAAACACACUCUCUUGUCCUCUUCUUGCAAAUCUGUAUGUAUUAGUCAUAGUUCAGAUUCUGCCACGUCCAAGGAAAAGACUCUUCAACUGGGUACCAAAAGCAAGGUCAGGAGAAACUCAACGGCGUGAUUCUAUUAUUGGUCUAGCUUUCUGGGUGUGAGAAACAGGAAGAGUAAUUGCGACAACUCUAGGGUUCUUUUAAGUCUUGAGUCAUAAGCCAGAUCAACGGUUACCGGUGAAGGGCUUGUCAGUUUAGCAGUUGUCUCUAUUCAAGGAGAUAACUGGUUGCUCAGGAGGAAAUGCCAAUGUUCACCCCUACCCCAACCUCCCUCCCACAGGAAGCCCAACCUUUCUGAGCACAGUUGAGAGGUUCCCCAUUUUGAUUCCACUUCCCUCCCCACCCAGCUGACCCUUGCAGGGAGAAUGAAGUCUGCCAUUUUGCACAGUUUUGCCUUUUCUGCUGUAAAUAAAUUGUUAAGACUCUUAAACCUGUCAGCGAAGCGGUUUCCAACCCAGUCUGGGGGUAAUAAUCUCCCUUUCUAAGAGAUAAGUACCCUGAGUAAGGCAGAUUGAAAGACAAACUAACACACCAAAGUUGCUGAGUGCACACAACUCUUUGAAGAUGCUUCACCUCUCAGGCUUUAUUUGCUUAAGGAAAAAAAAAAGUCUAGCUUGGAGGUUUCAGAAACUCACUUAGAAAUUACUAGACACUCCCUGGUAAAAAAACGCCAGUGCAUUUUCUUGUGCAGGAGCCAAACAUACACUUCUUGCAGCAGAGAGGUAGAUGGAGGAAGGUGAGCAGGGAGGGCCUACUGGAGUUUUCCAGAGGAAGGAUGUUUCUGGCAAGGCUGAAGUUUACUCGAAUCUCCCAAGUUCGAAGAAGUAGAACAAACUUCUACCUUUAGGACAGGAAAGCAUGAAUUUUGCUCUGGGAACCAGGCCCUGGUCCACAGGAGAAGAUGCCCUGGGCUGACCACACCAGCUGUUGAGCUGCUUUAUUCAUUACCCAGUUUCUAGAGUUUCAAAUGCUGAAUACCCACUCUCAGGAGUCAAUCGCAGCUGAUAAAUUCCAGGAUAAUGUUCAUAUCUUCUCUACUGUGGACUGAAAUUUCCGUAUCAGUUCUACAAAUCAAGGAGAAAAACACCAACAGCUUACUCUAAAAAGUGGGCGAAGGGCUGGCCCCGUGGCCGAGUGGUUAAGUUCGCGUGCUCCGCUGCAGGCGGCCCAGUGUUUUGUUGGUUCGAAUCCUGGGCGCGGACAUGGCACUGCUCAUCAAACCACACUGAGCAGCGUCCCACAUGCCACAACUAGAAGGACCCACAAUGAAGAAUAUACAACUAUGUACCGGGGGGCUUUGGGGAGAAAAAGGAAAAAUAAAAU
rnacentral:lncRNA from 1 species